rnacentral:rRNA from 1 species
GGCGGACGGGUGAGUAAUGCUUGGGAAUAUGCCUUAUGGUGGGGGACAACAGUUGGAAACGACUGCUAAUACCGCAUGAUGUCUACGGACCAAAGUGGGGGACCUUCGGGCCUCACGCCAUAAGAUUAGCCCAAGUGGGAUUAGCUAGUUGGUGAGGUAAUGGCUCACCAAGGCGACGAUCCCUAGCUGGUUUGAGAGGAUGAUCAGCCACACUGGGACUGAGACACGGCCCAGACUCCUACGGGAGGCAGCAGUGGGGAAUAUUGCACAAUGGGCGCAAGCCUGAUGCAGCCAUGCCGCGUGUGUGAAGAAGGCCUUCGGGUUGUAAAGCACUUUCAGUAAGGAGGAAAGGUUAAGUGUUAAUAGCACUUAGCUGUGACGUUACUUACAGAAGAAGCACCGGCUAACUCCGUGCCAGCAGCCGCGGUAAUACGGAGGGUGCGAGCGUUAGUCGGAAUUACUGGGCGUAAAGCGUAC